rnacentral:rRNA from 1 species
AAUGAACGCUGGCGGCGUGCCUAACACAUGCAAGUCGAACGAGAAAGUGGGCUUCGGCCCAUCAGUACAGUGGCAGACGGGUGAGUAACACGUGAGUAACCUGCCCGGAGGUGGGGGAUAACCUGCGGAAACGUGGGCUAAUACCGCAUAACAUCCCGGAGUCUUCGGACUUCGGGUUCAAAGCUUGCCUCUACAUGUAAGCUAGCACCUCCGGAGGGGCUCGCGGCCCAUUAGCUUGUUGGUGAGGUAACGGCUCACCAAGGCGACGAUGGGUAGCCGGCCUGAGAGGGUGAGCGGCCACACUGGAACUGAGACACGGUCCAGACUCCUACGGGAGGCAGCAGUGAGGAAUUUUGCGCAAUGGGCGAAAGCCUGACGCAGCGACGCCGCGUGGAGGAGGAAGGUCUUCGGAUCGUAAACUCCUGUCAAGAGGGACGAAAUCGGGAGCGAUGAAUAAGCGCUUCCGUCGACGGUACCUCUGGAGGAAGCCCCGGCUAACUCCGUG